rnacentral:lncRNA from 1 species
CAAAACGGACCCAUCUGAUAAACUUUUACCGGACACGAAAAACUGAUGACUAUAAACGAAAAGCUAUGAGGCAAUACCGAAGUCACGAAGCGACGUCGUAGAGGGCGGCGGCGGAGUCGGCCACUGAGACUUAACCGGAGUUUCCCCAUUAAGGAACUUAGAAUUUUCCUUGACGGGCGAUGCUGGGGUGACCAGCUUAUCACUCUUGGACCCGAAUGACAUCCUGAGUUUCAUUCCUGACUCGGGUGAGUUUCUAUGAAGCGAGACACAAGAACCCAUAAUCAAUCCCCCUCUCCCCUUCCCUCCCACCACCCAAAACCGACCAAGUUUUUUUUUUUCUCUCUCUCAAAACAUCAACGGGGUGGCACGGAAAGAAAAAUGGUGAUCAGGGUUUUGGAAAUAGAAGAAGAAAAUUGGAAAGGAGAGAAGAAAAAAUCAGAGAAGAGAGAGAGAGAGAGAGAGAGAGAUUGACCUUGAAAUGGAAAGUUAUGGAGACAAAGCGCCUGUUACAGUGAGGGAGGAGACUGGAGAGGGCAGUUUCUUUAUCAGCGUUAUU